rnacentral:rRNA from 1 species
UCUUUCGGAGCGUAAACUCUGUUGUUAGGGAAGAACAAGUACCGUUCGAACAGGGCGGUACCUUGACGGUACCUAACCAGAAAGCCACGGCUAACUACGUGCCGGCAGCCGCGGUAAUACGUAGGUGGCAAGCGUUGUCCGGAAUUAUUGGGCGUAAAGCGCGGGCAGGCGGUUUCUUAAGUCUGAUGUGAAAGCCCCCGGCUCAACCGGGGAGGGUCAUUGGAAACUGGGGAACUUGAGUGCAGAAGAGGAGAGUGGAAUUCCACGUGUAGCGGUGAAAUGCGUAGAGAUGUGGAGGAACACCAGUGGCGAAGGCGACUCUCUGGUCUGUAACUGACGCUGAGGCGCGAAAGCGUGGGGAGCGAACAGGAUUAGAUACCCUGGUAGUCCACGCCGUAAACGAUGAGUGCUAAGUGUUAGAGGGUUUCCGCCCUUUAGUGCUGCAGCAAACGCAUUAAGCACUCCGCCUGGGGAGUACGGUCGCAAGACUGAAACUC